GCGCCUACGGGAGGCAGCAGUGAGGAAUAUCGGUCAAUGGCCGGAAGGCUGAACCAGCCAAGUCGCGUGAGGGAAUAAGGCCCUAUGGGUCGUAAACCUCUUUUGUCAGGGAGCAAAGGCGUCCACGAGUGGACGAAAGGAGAGUACCUGAAGAAAAAGCAUCGGCUACCUCCGUGCCAGCAGCCGCGGUAAUACGGAGGAUGCGAGCGUUAUCCGGUUUUAUUGGGUUUAAAGGGUGCGUAGGCGGAGUGUCAAGUCAGCGGUAAAAUUUCGGGGCUCAACCCCGUCGUGCCGUGGAAACUGAC
rnacentral:rRNA from 1 species